rnacentral:rRNA from 1 species
CAACUCCGGUUGAUCCUGCCGGACCCCACUGCUAUCGGGGUGGGACUAAGGCAUGCUAGUCUGCGUUCUCCGGCAAUGGGGAGAACGCGGCGAACAGCUCCGUAACACGUAGCUAACUUGUCCUCAGGACGGGGAUAACCCCGGGAAACUGGGGCUAAUCCCCGAUAGGCGAGAGGGCCUGGAAUGGUCUCUCGCCUAAAGGAUGUGGGAACCAUGCCUUCCCGCAUCGCCUGAGGAUAGGGCUGCGGCCCAUCAGGUAGUUGGUGAGGUAACGGCUCA